AGAAUGGUACAUUCCAGAUAAGGGUUGCUCCUUUAGCCUGCAAGUCUAAUUGAGAAGACAGAUGGAGUGGAGCCAUUGCUGGAGCAGAACACUACUGGCCUAAAGUUUACAUGUAAUGUGAGCAAGAAAUAAGCCUUUGUGUUAUAUGACACUGAAAUGUUGGAGUUUGUUAUUCCACCAAAGGCACUAAGUACACGUGCCUAUGAGGACACUAAUAGAUGUGCACUUAUCUGUGGCUUUUUAAAAGGAUUAAAAGAAUAUGUCUUCAAUCUUCUUUAGAUGUGGUCAAUGUACUGGCAGGUCCCAGGAAGAUGCGAUGGUUGGACAUUCGUGGAAGAGACCCAGACUCACCAGGGGGAUAUCCUUCCAGUAUUCCCAGCUCCCUCCUGCUCUCUAUUCUUGAUAUAAAAGAAUAAUUUUGCUUUUUA